rnacentral:rRNA from 1 species
GCAGGCCUAACACAUGCAAGUCGAACGGUAGCACAGAGAGCUUGCUCUCGGGUGACGAGUGGCGGACGGGUGAGUAAUGUCUGGGAAACUGCCUGAUGGAGGGGGAUAACUACUGGAAACGGUAGCUAAUACCGCAUAACGUCGCAAGACCAAAGAGGGGGACCUUCGGGCCUCUUGCCAUCAGAUGUGCCCAGAUGGGAUUAGCUAGUAGGUGGGGUAACGGCUCACCUAGGCGACGAUCCCUAGCUGGUCUGAGAGGAUGACCAGCCACACUGGAACUGAGACACGGUCCAGACUCCUACGGGAGGCAGCAGUGGGGAAUAUUGCACAAUGGGCGCAAGCCUGAUGCAGCCAUGCCGCGUGUAUGAAGAAGGCCUUCGGGUUGUAAAGUACUUUCAGCGGGGAGGAAGGUGUUGUGGUUAAUAACCACAGCAAUUGACGUUACCCGCAGAAGAAGCACCGGCUAACUCCGUGCCAGCAGCCGCGGUAAUACGGAGGGUGCAAGCGUUAAUCGGAAUUACUGGGCGUAAAGCGCACGCAGGCGGUCUGUCAAGUCGGAUGUGAAAUCCCCGGGCUCAACCUGGGAACUGCAUCCGAAACUGGCAGGCUUGAGUCUUGUAGAGGGGGGUAGAAUUCCAGGUGUAGCGGUGAAAUGCGUAGAGAUCUGGAGGAAUACCGGUGGCGAAGGCGGCCCCCUGGACAAAGACUGACGCUCAGGUGCGAAAGCG